rnacentral:rRNA from 1 species
UACGUAGGGGGCGAGCGUUGUCCGGAAUUAUUGGGCGUAAAGAGCGUGUAGGCUGUUCGGUAAGUCUGCCGUGAAAACCUGAGGCUCAACCUCGGGCGUGCGGUGGAUACUGCCGGGCUAGAGGACGGUAGAGGCGAGUGGAAUUCCCGGUGUAGAGGUGAAAUUCGUAGAUAUCGGGAGGAACACCUGUGGCGAAGGCGGCCAUCUGGACGUUCACUGACGCUGAGACGCGAAAGCGUGGGGAGCGAACAGG